UACGGAGGGUGCAAGCGUUAUCCGGAAUCACUGGGCUUAAAGGGUGCGUAGGCGGUCCUGAAAGUUGGGUGUGAAAUCCCUCGGCUUAACCGAGGAAUUGCGCCCAAAACUACAGGGCUAGAGGAAGACAGGGGUAAGCGGAACUGAUGGUGGAGCGGUGAAAUGCGUUGAUAUCAUCAGGAACACCAGUGGCGAAGGCGGCUUACUGGGUCUUUUCUGACGCUGAGGCACGAAAGCUAGGGGAGCAAACGGG
rnacentral:rRNA from 1 species